AUGGAAAAGCGACACCAAAACUUGGGAGGAGCGGAAAAGAGGCUUUGCUAUUGGUUGAAUCUACUAUGCACACCUGCAAGUGGAGAGCGGUAUUAUAUGAGAAUGCUUCUAAACACAAAGAAAGGAUGCACAUCAUUUGAGGAUAUUAGAACAGUUAAUGGAGUUGUUCACCCAACAUACAAAUCAGCAUGCCAGACGCUUGGUUUUCUUGAUGAUGAUAGUGAGUGGAUUGAAUGCAUCAAUGAAGCAUCAACAUGGGGAUCCGGGACACAAUUACGACAGCUAUUCAGCACAAUUUUAUGCCAUUGUGAGGUUACCAGCCCAAAGAUGUUGUGGGAUUCAACAUGGGAGGCACUAUCUGAAGAUAUCCAGUACAAAAGAAGAAUUAUCCUAAACUUUCCUAUGCUGCAGCUCACUGAUUCACAAAAAAAAGCAUAUGCUCUGAUCGAGAUAGAGAAACUAAUGAGGCAAGCAGGAAAGACACUAAAGGACUAUCCAGACAUAGAACUACCAAAUGCUACAGAACUUGAACAACUUGGGAACAGAAUGAUAAAUGAAGAACUUAGCUACGACAUGGAAACACUAAAGGUGAGCACAAAACCAUAA
rnacentral:rRNA from 1 species